GCCCGUAUAGCUCAGUGGUAGAGCGCAUCACUCGUAUUCCAAAUCUGCGACAUGAUGAGGUCCGCGGUUCAAUCCCGCGUGGGGGCA